CCCCCCCCCCCCCCCCCCCCCCAACAACCAAGUUUGGGGUUGAAACGGUAUGGGUCAUUUCUUCGGUCUUCCCCUUUCGGCCCCGGCACCAAGCGAGCUGCGGUUCUCCCCGAAAGUUCAGACCACCGAGUGCCCGGUUUGACCGCUCUUGCUCCAGUCGUGGCCCAUGCCCGCUGCGGACAACAUGUGGACGAGGCGGAGGAAGGUGGACAAGACACAACUAAUGUCCCGGCGGUGAUGACACCGGUGCUACUCAUCGGGAAGACGCUCGGGAGGAGUGGGCGACAGAUAGCAGCAGAAGACAGUGCAAGUGAAAGCUGAAGGCCACCAUGGCCACGGUGCCCUGUAACAUAACGACCUCACCAGGACAGUCAAGGUACGUCCUUUUAUUCUGAGGAUUUGCUGCAGUUCAGUGAGCUAGGCUGCUCCGAAAAUACCUGCAAACCUGUGGUCUCCAUCAUGAACAAAGAAAAGGUUAACAGCACUGAAUAAGUGAUGUACAUUACAAGGAUGAUGCGAGUUGCAUGCAAAAGGCAAAUCUGCCCCGAGUGACAAUGGGCAGUGUGCCACAGCCAACAUUGCGUGUAGAAAGGAACUGCAGAUGCUGGUUUGCACUGAAGACAGACACAUAAUGCUGGAGUAACUCAGUGGGACGGGCAGCGUCUCUCUCUGGAGAGAAGGAACGGAUGACAUUUCUGGUCGAGACCCUUCUUCAGACUGAACAACAUCACCUUUUGAGUACAUAUAUUUUGCUGAUAUCUCUGGUUUUCAACUUUUUCUUGGUCUUUAUUUUCAAUCAAAUAUCAAAGGCGUGUAUUUUACACAUGGAGCUAAUAAUGUAAUACAGUGUAAGUUUUAUCUGCCGUGUGAUCAACUGAAGAGAAAUGUUGCCUUGUCACAGAAUAAAAGUGAUUCAAGUGGCCAACUCCUUCUGCGCAAAAGUCACCUUGUUCUUUACAACAUUUUAAUAACGUCUUACUUUUAAUUUAUUUUGUAAAAUACCAUUUGCAGUCCAAAAGUAUAAAAUAUUUUAAGGUUACAAAAAGGUCUGAUAUGGUAGUGAGA